GGGGGCGAAACGGUUUCGACGGGGAUGUCGCUGCUCCUGGGUUGCGUGCCGAGGCCCUGAACCUCGUAAAAACGGGAAACCAAUAGUCGCCAACGACUAUCCGUUAGCUCAGGCAGCUUAAGCUGCCUGCCUCCGACCGCUGAAUGCCCGUAUA
rnacentral:tmRNA from 1 species